rnacentral:rRNA from 1 species
GAUGAACGCUGGCGGCGUGCCUAAUACAUGCAAGUCGAGCGAACAGAUGAGGAGCUUGCUCCUCUGACGUUAGCGGCGGACGGGUGAGUAACACGUGGAUAACCUACCUAUAAGACUGGGAUAACUUCGGGAAACCGGAGCUAAUACCGGAUAAUAUAUUGAACCGCAUGGUUCAAUAGUGAAAGACGGUUUUGCUGUCACUUAUAGAUGGAUCCGCGCCGCAUUAGCUAGUUGGUAAGGUAACGGCUUACCAAGGCAACGAUGCGUAGCCGACCUGAGAGGGUGAUCGGCCACACUGGAACUGAGACACGGUCCAGACUCCUACGAGAGGCAGCAGUAGGGAAUCUUCCGCAAAGGGCGAAAGCUUGACGGAGCAACGCCGCGUGAGUGAUGAAGGUCUUCGGAUCGUAAAACUCUGUUAUUAGGGAAGAACAAAUGUGUAAGUAACUAUGCACGUCUUGACGGUACCUAAUCAGAAAGCCACGGCUAACUACGUG